ACUCUGUGGUUUAUGAAAGCUGGGUCACUGUAGCACACCAGAAUAAAGAAGAGGGCAGAAGGUACUAACAUUUGUCAGGUUCCACUUGCCAUGCAAGUUUUUGAAGCUGCUUUGGUCUUGUACAGAGGAAUUUUAGCCUUUUGUACUGCACUCUCCUGUAGAAAGGAACAUCCCCACUGUUGUUGUUCUUGGUGGAAUUGACUCUGCUAUCGCUCUUCUUCACUACCAUCCUUCAGCAGGAGUGGCCAAGAGGGGCCUCCCCAGUAAGCAGCCCAGCUGAGAGCUCCAGCUGUCAGUGUACCAAAGCUGAUUCCUUUCUUAGGAAAGGGAAAGAGGCAGGAGUAAUACACAGGGCUGGAAAAGCCGAAGGAUCUCAGGGAGUAAAUACUCAUAAACAAUUUUAAGGCUUUGCUCAGAGAUGCUGCUGCAGCAGAAUGCAGGGUAUUGAGCCCCUAGGUUAUUUCAUCCACUGCUAUGCACAGAAAACAAAUGGUCAAGGAAGAAACAGCUGCUGCAAUUGGACGAAAAAUGUGUGAGCUCACAAAGGAGAGGGGAAUACUUCCUAUCUGCAGCCCACGACUGGGAGAAGCCAUGGAGCAACAGAGGCUGGAUACUGGCAUUUCCACAGCAGUGCAUAUGGAACAGGAGAAAGGAAACGAUGACAGAAAGCACAUAUAACAAGGACAAUUUAUCACCCGAAGUUGUAUUUACCGUGCCUUUCUUAUGAAGAUGCAAAAGAAAUCCUAAGCAUCUACUUAAUUGAAACUCUGUUACCGUGAAAUUGUACACAAUGGGAGGCUGUGGUAUAUAGUGAAAGUUACCAAGGUGGCAUUGAAAAAAAAAGAAUUAAUUGAGGAUUCAAAUGUAAGUAGGUGACCUUGUAAGUACUUUAAAAUCUUAGACAAAUAAAAGAUGUUAUCAUCCUAAUUAGAACUUAAUUUUUUUAAAGACAAAACUGUAUUACUCAACUGCCAUAAUUCUUGUUAAAAGUGAUUGAAUAAUUGCCUUUACUCAAACAAGCUGAACUCCCAUUUUAUCUUCAAAAUAUUAGCAAAAGCCCAGUGCCAAGGGUUUCUAAGUCUGUACCAGAGAACAGCACUUCAAAUGUUCUAUGAGUCAAUGUGCAACAAACAAAGGGAUAAGAACAUUCAUAUCUCCUGGCAGAUGCAACUAUCAUAAGAUUGAGACUAGCUCUUUAAUAUUUCUUUUCCAGAACGACCUCAGUUAUGAAUGACAGUAGAUGAAAAAAGUUAGUUGCAGCACAAGCGGAAGAAGUUGAGAAGUUGUAGUGGAAAUGCUGAGUCACGGCUUGAAGCAGUGACUGAGCAGCUGGUGGGAAGGCAGGGUGAACCCAGCGGAGCUUGUGUGCAAGAAGUGCACCUGAAGGACUGCAAGGGGCAGA